CUGAGAAGUGCCGGGAGGCGGAGGGUGGGAAGGGGGAUCGGCCUGCAGUUGCUCCACGUGCAUCAAUAGUUGUCAGUAACAUCAAACUGACGUCAUCCUCGGGGAUUCAUUUCAUGCUACACCAUAAGAACGAGGACACUGGGAGGAGGAGAGGUGUCUGUAAUCAAAUGCUAUCACCUGUCAUGUAGAGGAGAACAGUGCAGGUUUCCUCCUGCCAGCUUGUUCCCAUAGAGUCUCUGGCCCUUGGUUUCUACAGGGCUCUGCAACAGUGAUGGGUGGUAAGUUAUUGUUA
rnacentral:lncRNA from 12 species